rnacentral:tRNA from 1 species
GGUCGUAUAGUCCAAUGGCAGAGGCAACUGGUUUAAUCCCAGUAUAGUUCGAGUUCGAAUCUCGAUAUGACUA